GAAACUUAAAGGAAUUGGCGGGGGAGCACCACAAGGCGUGAAGCUUGCGGUUCAAUUGGAGUCAACGCCGGGAACCUUACCGGGGGCGACAGCAGAAUGAAGGCCAGAUUGAAGGUCUUGCUAGACAAGCUGAGAGGAGGUGCAUGGCCGUCGCCAGUUCGUGCCGUGAGGUGUCCUGUUAAGUCAGGCAACGAUCGAGACCCACGCCUUUAGUUGCUACUGAGGAAGUUUUCCAAGGGGCACUCUAAAGGGACUGCCGUCGACAAGACGGAGGAAGGAGUGGGCUACGGCAGGUCAGUAUGCCCCGAAUCCCCCGGGCUACACGCGAGCUGCAAUGGCAGAGACAAUGGGUUCCGACCCUGAAAAGGGAAGGCAAUCUCUAAACUCUGCCCCAGUUUGGAUUGAAGGCUGGAACCCGCCUUCAUGAAAAUGGAAUGCCUAGUAAUCGCGCGUCAUCAACGCGCGGUGAAUACGUCCCCGCUCCUUGCACACACCGCCCGUCGCUCCAUCCGAGUGGGGUUUGGGUGAGGCGUGGUCUUUUUGGCUGCGUCGAAUCUGAGUUCCGCAAGGAGGGAGAAGUCGUAACAA
rnacentral:rRNA from 1 species